rnacentral:tRNA from 1 species
GGACUUAGCUUAGUGGUAGAGUGCUCACCUACCAGGUUCGAGGCCCUGGGUUCGAUUCCCAGCAUGCCA